CUUCCAUGCACAAGAGAGAAGAAGAGAAGAAAAACACUUUCUCCUUCACGUUUCACAGUCUAUCUCAUUCACUCAAGCUGUUUAAAAUGAAAACAAAGACCUUCAGCACAACAACCUUUCAAGAACAUCUUAAAAUUAAAGAUUAAUCAUGCAAUCUGAAGGAUUCAUUAAACGCAUAUCCAUGCAACUCUCUCGAGGACCAAAAGUGUAAUUGCAUAUCUUAAAAUGACUCUAUUUUGCUCUUUUCCCGCUGAUUUUUGGAACUUUUUCAUUGCAAAUUAUAAGAAUUUAUCAUUAGAAGAAAAACUUGCACUGGAACUGCCAUAAAACCCAGAAUGAUUCAACUAAAAA